AAAAACUGAGUUUUUAUGAAUACAAAAGUGGAUACAGACGUGAGGAAUUAACAGAGAGAGUGGGGAGACUGUGGGAUCCUGGCUCUAAAGCUAACGUUA